rnacentral:tRNA from 1 species
CGGGAUGUAAUUCAGCGGUUUUAGAAGCUUUGGUUUGGGACCAAAGAGUCGUGGGUUCAAAUCCUACCAUCCCGA